GUCUACUAGUAUAUAAUAAAGCAAUUGUGCCUUUUACCGUUUCCAGAGCGCCCGUGCACAUCGUGACAGGUUCUGCGGGAUGUGCGGAGGGCCGCGACCAUUUCAGACAUACUCCCUUCCACUGGUCCGCCUUCCGCUCGCAAGACUUCGGCUACACGCGCCUCAAGGUGUACAACACCACGCACCUCAAUAUUGAACAAGUUUCAGUAGACCUCGAAGGGCAAGUCAUUGAUGCAUUUUGGAUCAAGAAGAAUAUUUCAAGCCAAAGAACAUUUUCGGAAAUAUUCUCCCCGUGAAACCCGACGUCUACAAUCGGGACAGCAUUAUAUUAAUUCUAGGUAAUAAAUAAAAAAUAUGAAACAUUGAAAGACUUUAUUUUGAGUAUCACGUUCAGACAUUCAUUUUCAACUUAAGUUACAAAUAGGUACCUUAAUACAGUACAGUAGAUACAUAAUACAGUCGUCGAAAGUUUACUUUAUCGUAAAUGUUCUUAAUUCUUCCUGUUAUACUGGAGUUCUGUAAACAUUGACUACUUGGGAAGUUUAGAACUGGAAUAUAGGAACCACAUUCAAAUAUCAGUGUACCAAAUAGUUGAUAAUAAUUUAUUAAUGUUGUUACUCAAAUCUAAUUUGAAAUAACAAUGAUAUUAAACAUCGAAAUAUCCACACUUCAACCACCACAUUAGAUACGAGUAUUAUAUUAAGUCUUUUAGUCAACAUAUUAGAGUAAAACAUUUAUUAUGAACGUUUAGCGGUUUCGAAGAUAAUUAUGAAGUAAUAUAGAAUACUAGCGGACGCCCGCGACUUCGUCCGCGUAAAAAUUGAUGUAAACUUCUCUACCUCUACCUUACCCUG
rnacentral:lncRNA from 1 species